ACCUACGGGUGGCAGCAGGGAGGAAUAUUGGGCAAUGGGCGCAAGCCUGACCCAGCAACGCCGCGUGAAGGAUGAAGGCCUUCGGGUCGUAAACUUCUUUUGAGGGAGACGAGAAAGGACGGUAUCCCUCGAAUCAGCCACGGCUAACUACGUGCCAGCAGCCGCGGUAAAACGUAGGUGGCGAGCGUUAUCCGGAUUCAUUGGGCGUAAAGAGCUUGUAGGUGGUUUCGUAAGUUGGACGUGAAAACUCCGGGCUUAACUUGGAGAGGCCGUUCAAUACUGCGGGACUGGAGGAUGUCAGAGGGGAGUGGAAUUCCUGGUGUAGCAGUGAAAUGCGUAGAUAUCAGGAGGAACACCCGUGGCGAAGGCGGCUCCCUGGGGCAUCCCUGACACUGAGAAGCGAAAGCUAGGGGAGCGAACGGGAUUAGAUACCCCAGUAGUCGG
rnacentral:rRNA from 1 species